UCUGGUCUUGUCAACGUACAGUCCCAGAAGGAAAGCGCCAAGUAACCCAAACACCGUGAACAACGCACCAUUCAGGCCUGCAAAGAACUACAGGGGAAGAGAAAUGAGCAUCUGAGCAACUAGAAUUAGGAGGACACACAUCUAGAAUAGCAAGCAACUGGCCCAGAUGAUGACAGUCCCAAAAGGUGUCCAUAUAAAGAGUUCGGAUCCCAUAGAGACGGGAGUGGUGUAAGACCAUACGCAGAUAAAAGCAGACUGGGACAUCCUCCCAGAAUGGGCUCAGUGACCCCCUAGCCACGCUGGGAGGCCAGAGCUGGCUGAAGUAGCCCAGAAAGCGAGUGAGGUGCUCCAGGUGCAAAGGUGCAGAGAACUGCCGCCUGCUACCAGCAGGGGUGCUAUGGAGCCCUGGCUGGAAUUUAGAACUGCCCCCUCCCCCCAACCCCUGGUGGAACCAGCACUAUCAUCUGUUCCCCUCUUGGGGUUAAGGGGGUGGAUGCUCACCCCCACCCCCUUGGGGCAAAUCAACCCUGGUCUGUCUUUCUGCAGAGGUCAGGGUCAGAGGCACGUAACAAGUGUGUGGUUGUGCAGAAUAACCCGGAGAAGGAGCGUGUGGACCCUUUGGGGUGUUAUGUCCAACUGUGGAGUAUUGUACAGCUCUGUGGGAACAUCCUCCUGCUCCAGACUCGUGAGUCAGAUUGCAUCAGGAGAUCUGACCACACCCGGGUGUGUGGAAAUCAGACCAGCCUCCGGAGACGCACUGAGUUCUGUGUUCCUCCUACGAUCAUCUGUCAGCAAUACUGGCCUCAACUGAGCAACUACAGCUCUGGCACAAGGGACCUGGAAGGGCUCAGGGGAUGGACUUUCUAUGCCUCUCUUUUUCUGUUU